rnacentral:rRNA from 1 species
CCUUCGGGAGCUUGCACAGGUGCUGCAUGGCUGUCGUCAGCUCGUGUCGUGAGAUGUUCGGUUAAGUCCGCUAACGAGCGCAACCCUCGUCGUGUGUUACAAGUGUCACGCGAGACCGCCGACGUCAAGUCGGAGGAAGGUGGGGAUGAUGUCAAGUCAGCAUGGCCUUUAUAUCCAGGGCUACACACACGCUACAAUGGUCAACACAAUAGGUCGCGAAACCGCGAGGUGGAGCCAAUCCUCAAAGUUGGCCUCAGUUCAGAUUGUAGGCUGCAACUCGCCUGCAUGAAGAUGGAGUUGCUAGUAACCGCAGGUCAGCACUACUGCGGUGAAUACGUUCCCGGGUUU